UUCAAUGACAGUCAAAUUAUGAAAGAAGACUUUGAUGCCUCAGAUAAAAUAGUGUUUCUUGGCUUAAAUAAAUGAAUUCUUGAAUUCUGUUGGGGAUAAUAGGUGUGUUUCUUCAUAUCGAUGCCAAGCUCCCCAGCCUGGCAGUGUAGAUAACAGCAGAGAACAGCCAACUAUGAUAUCUAUAUAUCCUAAACACAGUAGAGCAUAUUACCACUUACCACAUCCCGUCCAAUUAACGGGGCCAAAAAAAAUUGACUUUCACGUACCAUCUGCUCUUCAGCAGGAUGAGCCAAGAAAUGAUUGUAUGGCGUGAAUGUACAUCCUUGGGUACACACAACCACAUGGGAAGGGUAUCCACAAUCUGAGGCCAGGCCUACAAACUCAGCUUCAUAACUGAACUUAUAGUAUCGCGAACACAUUGAUCAAAGUCCAGGCUCAGACGUGGACAGACACCGCUAAGCCAUAUGAGAGCAAGGCCUGGGAUUCUUCCAUUUCUCAGAUUUGUCACAGACCUUGUACAGAAUCAUGUAUGGAAUAAAUGCCUCACCGUAGGUAUUGAAUAAUUCAGUAGUGAAUGAACAUUCUGCAAAAUGGUGCACAGCCUGAGACCAUUUAAUUUAACUUUUUAAUUCUUCAUUAAAACCUCAUGAGCAAGCUCUCAGGAAGACCUUGUCUAUGUAGACAAGCUAUGGUAAACUUGGAAAUGAGUGAAGGGAAAAUAAUUGGCCGGGUAUACUGGAGGGAGAAUUCAGGGCUAUGCUUCUAUAUGGCAAAACAUUAUUACUGGUUAAUAAAGGGAACAAAUAGGCCCAUGAGUUCAUCACAUCUAUUUUAUUUCUUGAUGCCUAAGAGUAGACAUUGUUUAAAUUUUCUUAGAUGUAGAUGAGUGUCUGGAUGUCAGUGCAGUCUGUGACCAACUGUGCAUUAACUCUGUGGGGACCUAUUAGUGUGCUUGUGAGGACGGCUACAGAAUUGGAAGUGAUGGAAAAACUUGCAUCUGUGAGUUGCUUUGAAGAAUUUUAUCAAAUCUCUUCUAAAUGCCUUCGACCAUCAUCGUGUUCUUCAGGAGCAUGGAGACCAUCUAUUCUCUAACUCAGCCUGUCCUCCCCUUUCUCUCUUCACAGGCUGAGAUCUUUCUUUUCCUUUGUUCUCUCUGCAGCAGUUUCAACUCAGUGGCUCCCUGUUUCUCACCUUCAUUUACAAUAGACUGUUUGAAAUGGUCUUCUCAAAGAGUGUUGCCUUUCAGCCACCCCCUCCCUGCCUUGGCUGUCUACUUCAAACGCUCUCAUUUCUCUCACUAACCCUCACUCAGUUUUUCCUUUUUUUAACCAGCAUGUUGAAUCCAGCCAUUUUCCUGUGUGGUCUUCGCUUUAGAUAAUGAUGAGCUAGAGGAAGAAGGAGAGGAGGUACACUUUGUGAGGUUUCCAGGUCUUCAAUUCAAGAGCCCACCUCCACUGCUUCCGUAUGUGGCCACCUCUCUGCCUCUCACCCACCAAGAUGAAGAAGAUAAGGAGGAGGAAGGAGAGAUUCGAGGACAACUGAAGGCUUUGCACAAAGUUGUGAUGUAAACAGCGUGGGUCAACUAAGAUGGCAUCGCAUUCCAGUCUGUUUAGAUCACACCUUUGGCCGCGAUUGCAGUCAGUGCUGUGCCAACUGCAUGAAUGGAGGCAGGUGUCAGGAAGGAAGGAGUGGGUGCUCCUGCCCUGCUGGCUGGGGAGGAGUUCUUUGUAAUGAAAGAUGCCCAAAAGGAUUCUUUGGGAGCAACUGCAAAAGGAAAUGUAACUGUGCCCACAACGGCCAUUGCCACAGGGUGUAUGGCGCGCCUGCAUGUGUGAGCCAGGGUGCUGUGGGAGGUUUUGUCAUCUGAGUAAGUCACAGACACUACCUUUUCUCUCUGCGUGAAGCAAGGAAGCUCAGAAAACUACCAAAAAUACAUCAGUGUCAACCUAAAGACAGACACCCAGUGCUGUCCCAACGGGGCCUACGGAGCUGGCCACUCUUCCGAAUGUCAGUGUGUGGAGGAGAACACCCUGGAAAGCAGUGCCAAAAAUGGCAGUUGCACCUGCAAAUCUGGUUACCAAGGCAACAGAUGCCAGAAAGCCUGUCCUGAUGGCCUCUGGGGACCAGGGUGCCAGUUCUCCUGUGGACCCUGUGAGAAUGGAGGUCAGAGAAAAAAAAAAAAAAAAAAAAACUGGAAACUGCAACUAUCUUCCCUUCCUAUUACACAGGAAAAGCCUGUACCGUACUGGUGGGACAGAGUAACUCGAAAACUUGAGGAAAGCAGUGGCUGGAUGGUAAGAAUGGUAUCUUUUUUUUUUACAUUACUAUUUCAAAUACAAAUGGUUUGACAAAGGUUAGCAAAAGUCUAUUAUUUGAAUUGUCUCUGAUGUUAUGAGGUGUGAACGGUGAUCUGAAUUAGCUUCAGUGCUUAGGACUUCCUAAAAACCAACAAGCAAAUAAAACCAGAAACUUAAACGUAAAUAUAGAAUGUAGCACCAGGAUAAUAUUAGCACUUGGCUAAUCAUCUGAUCAUUGGGGAAAAUGCAUUACUGCCCCUCAGGAAAACCCUCAAGCAAGAGUGGUAGGACAAGGUCGUUGCCUGACGAUUUUUCUAGAUGUAACGAGAUUGUCUGUGCUUUAGGACUGUCAUUCUGUGCUGUUGACA